AACGAACGCUGGCGGCAUGCCUAACACAUGCAAGUCGAACGAGACCUUCGGGUCUAGUGGCGCACGGGUGCGUAACGCGUGGGAACCUGCCCUUAGGUUCGGAAUAACUCCCCGAAAGGGGUGCUAAUACCGGAUAAUGUCUUCGGACCAAAGAUUUAUCGCCUUUGGAUGGGCCCGCGUUGGAUUAGCUAGUUGGUAGGGUAAAAGCCUACCAAGGCGACGAUCCAUAGCUGGUCUGAGAGGAUGAUCAGCCACACUGGGACUGGGACACGGCCCAGACUCCUACGGGAGGCAGCAGUGGGGAAUAUUGGAGAAUGGGCGAAAGCCUGAUCCAGCAAUGCCGCGUGAGUGAUGAAGGCGUUAGGGUUGUAAAGCUCUUUUACCCGGGAUGAUAAUGACAGUACCGGGAGAAUAAGCUCCGGCUAACUCCGUG
rnacentral:rRNA from 1 species